CGUGGGUAAUCUGCCUCGAAGUUUGGGAUAACCUUCCGAAAGGUUGGCUAAUACCGGAUAAGCUCACGGGAUCCUCGGAUUCUGUGGGAAAAGGUGGCCACUAUUUAUAAGCCAUCACUUUGAGAUGAGCCCGCGGCCCAUCAGCUAGUUGGCGGGGUAACGGCCCACCAAGGCUACGACGGGUAGCUGGUCUGAGAGGACGAUCAGCCACACUGGAACUGAGACACGGUCCAG
rnacentral:rRNA from 1 species